rnacentral:rRNA from 1 species
UUAAGCGACUAAGCGUACACGGUGGAUGCCCUGGCAGUCAGAGGCGAUGAAGGACGUGCUAAUCUGCGAAAAGCGUCGGUAAGGUGAUAUGAACCGUUACAGCCGGCGAUGUCCGAAUGGGGAAACCCAGUGCAAUUCGUUGCACUAUCGUUAACUGAAUACAUAGGUUAACGAGGCGAACCGGGGGAACUGAAACAUCUAAGUACCCCGAGGAAAAGAAAUCAACCGAGAUUCCCCCAGUAGCGGCGAGCGAACGGGGAGCAGCCCAGAGUCUGAAUCAGCUUGUGUGUUAGUGGAACGGUCUGGAAAGUCCGACGGUACAGGGUGAUAGUCCCGUACACCAAAAUGCACAGGCUGUGAACUCGAAGAGUAGGGCGGGACACGUGGUAUCCUGUCUGAAUAUGGGGGGACCAUCCUCCAAGGCUAAAUACUCCUGACUGACCGAUAGUGAACCAGUACCGUGAGGGAAAGGCGAAAAGAACCCCGGCGAGGGGAGUGAAAAAGAACCUGAAACCGUGUACGUACAAGCAGUGGGAGCACCUUCGGGUGUGACUGCGUACCUUUUGUAUAAUGGGUCAGCGACUUAUAUUCUGUAGCAAGGUUAACCGUAUAGGGGAGCCGCAGGGAAACCGAGUCUUAACUGGGCGUUAAGUUGCAGGGUAUAGACCCGAAACCCGGUGAUCUAGCCAUGGGCAGGUUGAAGGUUGGGUAACACUAACUGGAGGACCGAACCGACUAAUGUUGAAAAAUUAGCGGAUGACUUGUGGCUGGGGGUGAAAGGCCAAUCAAACCGGGAGAUAGCUGGUUCUCCCCGAAAGCUAUUUAGGUAGCGCCUCGUGAACUCAUCUUCGGGGGUAGAGCACUGUUUCGGCUAGGGGGUCAUCCCGACUUACCAACCCGAUGCAAACUACGAAUACCGAAGAAUGUUAUCACGGGAGACACACGGCGGGUGCUAACGUCCGUCGUGAAGAGGGAAACAACCCAGACCGCCAGCUAAGGUCCCAAAGUCAUGGUUAAGUGGGAAACGAUGUGGGAAGGCACAGACAGCCAGGAUGUUGGCUUAGAAGCAGCCAUCAUUUAAAGAAAGCGUAAUAGCUCACUGGUCGAGUCGGCCUGCGCGGAAGAUGUAACGGGGCUAAACCAUGCACCGAAGCUGCGGCAGCGACACUAUGUGUUGUUGGGUAGGGGAGCGUUCUGUAAGCCUGCGAAGGUGGCCUGUGAGGGCUGCUGGAGGUAUCAGAAGUGCGAAUGCUGACAUAAGUAACGAUAAAGCGGGUGAAAAGCCCGCUCGCCGGAAGACCAAGGGUUCCUGUCCAACGUUAAUCGGGGCAGGGUGAGUCGACCCCUAAGGCGAGGCCGAAAGGCGUAGUCGAUGGGAAACAGGUUAAUAUUCCUGUACUUGGUGUUACUGCGAAGGGGGGACGGAGAAGGCUAUGUUAGCCGGGCGACGGUUGUCCCGGUUUAAGCAUGUAGGCGGAGGAUUCCAGGUAAAUCCGGUACCUUUUUAACGCUGAGGUGUGAUGACGAGGCACUACGGUGCUGAAGUAACAAAUGCCCUGCUUCCAGGAAAAGCCUCUAAGCAUCAGGUAACAUUAAAUCGUACCCCAAACCGACACAGGUGGUCAGGUAGAGAAUACCAAGGCGCUUGAGAGAACUCGGGUGAAGGAACUAGGCAAAAUGGUGCCGUAACUUCGGGAGAAGGCACGCUGGUGUGUAGGUGAAGUCCCUGCGGAUGGAGCUGAGACCAGUCGAAGAUACCAGCUGGCUGCAACUGUUUAUUAAAAACACAGCACUGUGCAAACACGAAAGUGGACGUAUACGGUGUGACGCCUGCCCGGUGCCGGAAGGUUAAUUGAUGGGGUUAUCCGUAAGGAGAAGCUCUUGAUCGAAGCCCCGGUAAACGGCGGCCGUAACUAUAACGGUCCUAAGGUAGCGAAAUUCCUUGUCGGGUAAGUUCCGACCUGCACGAAUGGCGUAAUGAUGGCCAGGCUGUCUCCACCCGAGACUCAGUGAAAUUGAACUCGCUGUGAAGAUGCAGUGUACCCGCGGCAAGACGGAAAGACCCCGUGAACCUUUACUAUAGCUUGACACUGAACAUUGAGCCUUGAUGUGUAGGAUAGGUGGGAGGCUUUGAAGCGUGGACGCCAGUCUGCGUGGAGCCAACCUUGAAAUACCACCCUUUAAUGUUUGAUGUUCUAACGU